UACGUAUGGUGCAAGCGUUAUCCGGAUUUACUGGGUGUAAAGGGAGCGUAGACGGCUUUGCAAGCCAGAUGUGAAAGCCCGGGGCUCAACCUCGGGACUGCAUUUGGAACUGUAUGGCUGGAGUGUCGGAGAGGCAGGCGGAAUUCCUAGUGUAGCGGUGAAAUGCGUAGAUAUUAGGAGGAACACCAGUGGCGAAGGCGGCCUGCUGGACGAUGACUGACGUUGAGGCUCGAAAGCGUGGGGAGCAAACAGG
rnacentral:rRNA from 1 species